CCUACGGGUUGCAGCAGUGGGGAAUUUUCCGCAAUGGGCGAAAGCCUGAUCCAGCAAUGCCGCGUGUGUGAAGAAGGUCUUCGGAUUGUAAAGCACUUUCGACGGGGACGAUGAUGACGGUACCCGUAGAAGGAGCCCCGGCUAACUUCGUGCCAGCAGCCGCGGUAACACGAAGGGGGCUAGCGUUGCUCGGAAUGACUGGGCGUAAAGGGCGCGUAGGCGGUUUAUGCAGUCAGAUGUGAAAUCCCCGGGCUCAACCUGGGAACUGCAUUUGAGACGCAUAGACUAGAGGUCGAGAGAGGGUUGUGGAAUUCCCAGUGUAGAGGUGAAAUUCGUAGAUAUUCGGAGGAACACCAGUGGCGAAGGCGGCUUACUGGUCUGCAACUGACGCUGAGGCGCGAAAGCGUGGGGAGCAAACAGGAUUAGAUACCCCUGUAGUC
rnacentral:rRNA from 1 species